rnacentral:tRNA from 1 species
CAGAAAAUAGUUUAAAUAAAAUAUUAACUUUGGGAGUUAAUGAUAAAAUGUUGUUUUUUUUUCUGA